rnacentral:rRNA from 1 species
UACGGAGGGCGCAAGCGUUGCUCGGAAUUAUUGGGCGUAAAGGGUAGGUAGGUGGUCUCAUGUGUCUGGGGUGAAAGCCUUGAGCUUAACUCAAGAAGUGCCCCAGAAACGGUGAGACUGGAGUCCUGGAGAGGGUCGUGGAAUUCCCGGUGUAGCGGUGAAAUGCGUAGAGAUCGGGAGGAACACCGGAGGCGAAGGCGGCGACCUGGACAGGUACUGACACUCAACUACGAAAGCGUGGGGAGCAAACAGG